UGGGGUGGGGUGGGCAGCUGCGGCCCCGGCCGGCUGCUGAUCCGAGCGGAGAGCAGGAGAGAGUGAGGAGGCAGCUGGUGCGGGGGAGGAGCCGGACUCUUCCACCACCCAAGUCUCCUCUCGCUGCCGGCUGCCCUGGGGGAGGCGCCUUCCCUCUCUGCCGCAGGCUGCUUCUGGGUGCCAGCGCCACAGCGAAGUAUAAAUUCCCUCCCCUUGAAAGAUAUUCCCGGAGCUUCCUUUUCGAUGAUCUCAGCUUGGGGGACUGAACUCUUACGACACAGGUUCAGCAGAACUCCCGGGUGGAUUGCUUUUGCGUUAAGAAAACACGUCCCUGAGACCUGAAAGCGUGUCUGGGAGGCGCUAAGAGCCUCCUGAGUGGUGGGACUACAGGUGUGUGCCACCACACCCAGUGAAGUAAAUCUUAAAGGCGACGGUAACUCCAGUAGACGGGAGGACUCAGGCAUCCGGGCACCUGGCUCAAAAUAUUUCCCUGGUCUCACAUGUUCCAGCGCAUGUCACGUCACACUGGAGACGGCCGUCUCUCCGGGGGCCUCCCCGCAGACUUCAGGUGCGGGUGAGAGGAGGUGGGGGCGGGGUUUGGGCCAUGAUCCUGAAGGCAGACAGUAGCGGAGCCCCUAGGGCUUUGAUAAAUUUAUAAAACACAUCUUUUCU